rnacentral:lncRNA from 1 species
AAAAACAAAGGUGAUGCAAAUGAGCGCAGCUACAAAAGUGUUAUUCUCAUACUCCAUUGCACAAGGUAUGUACGACAAUGAAGCACCAAACCCUAAUUAAACAUUAAUAAAACAGAGUCUUUUUGUAAAAGCAAAAAGCAGUACAUUAAGCAGAAGAGAUGCAUGCAUCAGUAGCAUUAUUAGUUAAUUAUUUUAGUAAUAAUUAAUCUGACGUCGAUACUGAUGAUGUGUCACAAGAUCAUCAAGCAUCCAAAGGUCCCCAGAGUAAGGAUUAUCACCGCCGUUUUCCCUCAGACGAGCAGCCAUCUGGUCAGGUUCCAGCCCAAGAAACGACUCCAACUUCAAGAUUUGCUCUUCCAGCUCAUAAUCUUCAUUUUGAUACCCA